rnacentral:other from 4 species
UAUUCUCUGCGGUGCGCGUGAUUUUAAAAUCUAUUCUUGAACCAACAAAAGAAUAGAGAGCGACACGUAAAGAUGGCAGUGUGCAAGCCCUUAAACAUGACAGUGUAAAAACUGCCGGGGAAGCCUAAUGUCAUGGAAAGAAGUUGCUCUACUGGUUAGCCAGGUUCAAGCAAAUUUUUAAACACGGCAUUGCGGAGAAAUU